AAAUGUUUGAGCACCUUAUUAAAUGUAUACUUCUUCCGUUAGCUUCUACUUGUCACAUGUCACUUUUCGUGAAUCCGUUUGAUUAUUCUUAGAAGCUAAAUCGAAUUAAAUUAGUUCAACAACAACAACAAACCCAGUGUAUUCCCACCAAGUGCGGGUCUGGGGAGGAUAAAAUCUACGCAGUCCAUACCGCUACCUCCGAAGAAGUAGAGAGGCUGUUUCCGAUAGACCCC
rnacentral:lncRNA from 1 species